CCACGUGAAAACCAUUUACCACGAGAGAUUGGAGCCGAUUCCUUUACAAUUAACUGUGAGUAGCUUUUUUGAUGACUUAGUGGCUACGUUUAUCUUCUCACACGGUCCUGGAGCUGUACAGAGAGGGGAGCCCUCUGGAUUCAUAGAAUGCCACAACAAACAGUGUCUGAGCAGCACCAGGGGAAACGAGGCCUGGUAUAGCCUGUGGG